rnacentral:tRNA from 1 species
GGGCUGUAGCUCAGUGGCAGGGUGCUUGCUUGGCAUGCAUGAGGCAGUAUGUUCGAUACUCAGCACCA